AUGGUCGAAGGCUCUGAGUUGGACAUCCCCAACCUUAAGUUCCUUCUUCUCUGCUUCCAACAAAUGUCUGGCCUUAAGAUAAACUUUGACAAGAGCGAUGUGAUGGUGAUGGGAUACUCUGAGGCCGAAUCCCUUGCCAUCACUAACCGGCUCAACUGCCGCCUUGGUUCAUUCCCCACGACCUACUUGGGAACGCCUAUUAGCGACUCUUGGCUCACCAUCGUGGAUCUACGCCCGACCGUGUCCAAGCUUCAGACGUGCAUCGAACCUUGGCAAGGCAGAUGGCUGUCUAAGGCGGCUCGGACCAUUCUCAUUGACUCGUCCCUCUCCAGCCUCCUCCUGUUCCUCACGAGCUUCUACAGCCUCCACGAGACUCUGCACCACGAGAUCGCCAAGAUCCAGUCCCGCUUCUAUUGGGCCGGCGACAACAAUAAGCAGAAAUAUCAUAUGGUCAGCUGGCCUGACAUUUGCAAGCCUAGGGAACAGGGCGGCCUCGGUAUCAUGUGCUCCAAGCGCAUGAACAUCGCCCUUAUCUCCCGAUGGCUCUGGCACAUCUCGCAAGGCCAUGGUGGCCUCUGGCUC
rnacentral:rRNA from 1 species